rnacentral:rRNA from 1 species
CGGAGGGGCUAGCGUUGUUCGGAAUUACUGGGCGUAAAGCGCACGUAGGCGGACUGGAAAGUUGGAGGUGAAAUCCCAGGGCUCAACCUUGGAACUGCCUUCAAAACUAUCAGUCUGGAGUUCGAGAGAGGUGAGUGGAAUUCCGAGUGUAGAGGUGAAAUUCGUAGAUAUUCGGAGGAACACCAGUGGCGAAGGCGGCUCACUGGCUCGAUACUGACGCUGAGGUGCGAAAAGUGUGGGGGAGCAAACAGGAUU